rnacentral:rRNA from 1 species
AGCGAACGCUGGCGGCAGGCUUAACACAUGCAAGUCGAGCGGGCGUAGCAAUACGUCAGCGGCAGACGGGUGAGUAACGCGUGGGAACGUACCUUUUGGUUCGGAACAACACAGGGAAAC